rnacentral:rRNA from 1 species
CCUACGGGGGGCUGCAGUGGGGAAUCUUGGUCAAUGGGCGAAAGCCUGAACCUGCGACGCCGCGUGAGUGAUGAAGGUCGUAAGAUCGUAAAACUCUUUUCAGGGACAUUAAAGCUCCGGCUCUAACAUAGCCUGGAGUCUGACUAUCCCUGGAAUAAGCCCCAGCCAACUACGUGCCAGCAGCUGCGGUAAUACGUAGGGGGCGAGCGUUAUUCGGAAUUACUGGGUGUAAAGGGUAUGUAGGCGGCCUGACAAGUCGCGUGUCAAAGUCCAGCGCUCAACGCUGGGUUCGCACGCGAUACUGUCAGGCUUGAGGACUGGAGAGGUGAGCGGAAUUCCCGGUGUAGUGGUAAAAUACGUAGAUAUCGGGAGGAACACCAGCGGCGUAGGCGGCUCACUAGACAGUUUCUGACGCUAAGAUACGAAAGCGUGGGGAGCAAACAGGAUUAGAUACCCCAGUAGUC